GCGUGGUAGCUUAGUUGGUAGAGCAGUGGUCUUGUAAUCCAGUGACUCUGGUUCGAAACCAAGUUGAUGCG
rnacentral:tRNA from 1 species